rnacentral:lncRNA from 1 species
UCCCUACCCAGCAAGGACACUCGAAUGGAUGGCCAUGCCACGGAAUGCUACCUUUCGACGCAGCACAUUUGCAAGCUGGAGAGAAAUAUCUCCCUUCACCUUUCAGUAAUCACCCUGUAGAUUCACGGGUCGAGAUGACGAAAUAAUUCAUGGUGGUAAGAACAACACAAGCCAGGCAAGAAACUAUAACGCUGCAUGCAUCGAGCAAGUUUGCAUGCUCAUGAGCUCAUCCAGCAUUUGGCGACAAAAUUGAGCAGAUUGACAUAUGGACUAGAAUAGAACUCGGGUAUGUAGGCUUUUCGCCAUUACACGCGACCUUGCCCCGGCUGAAGAACAUAUAUGCACGAGAGAAGCUACCUUGGUAGGUGACGCUCUCGAGCAGUUAAAAUUCCAUCCCCUAUAUCUUUACCUUUUUCAUCAUGCCAUGAUCGUUUGAUCAUCACCGCUGCUUUUAGUUCUGCACAUUGUAGCGUCCUUCACUCGUCAGAGCCGGACAAUUUGUGCAGGAGGAACUGCAAAAGCAAGGCAACAACACGAAAAGGGAAAACAAAAGGCCGAAGCAUGCUAAAAUAAAAGCAGAGACAAAUGCCGAAUACAUAUUCACAACAAGAUGCAGUAAACUGCAAGCAAAGGUGAUACAAUGAUGACUGAAGGCGGGGAAAAAAACGCACAAACACGUUCCCCACACAGUGCUAGUAACCCAAUCUAUGCAAUUGCCUUCAAUGCUUUAUAACGCAAUAUUUCAUGAGUAUCAGCAUUAUUAUAUUCAUCUCUUCCAAUUCAAGAUUAAAGCCUCACCUGCAUAAUUUAGAACUGAUACUAGAUAGAACAAUUAAUACCACAAACACUUGCCAGGUUUUUGUCCUGGCAGAUUGAGGUCCCAUUUGGAUACACAAUGCUAAACUUUAGCACUGUGCUAAAGUUUAGCACUUGAGGUUGUUUGAAUACAGUGCUAAAGUUUAGCACCUUGGGUGAGAAAUAACUACAUUGCCCUCAUUUAGGACUGGCUUAGGGAAAAGUGGAGAGCAGAGAGAGGGGGGGCAACUAGAAAAAAAGUAAGCUUGAAGAUCACUUUUAGCACUAUUAGCAAGUUUUAGCACCCUUUAGGUGUGCUAAUGAAAAAGAGUGUGCUAAACUUUAGCACAAGUGCUAAAAGUGUUGUGCUAAAGCACCAUGUAUCCAAACGGGGCCUAAGAUUGCAGUAAAAAAAAAAAAGGCAAAACACACAUGACACAAC